UACGGGGGGGGCUAGCGUUGUUCGGAAUUACUGGGCGUAAAGGGCGCGUAGGCGGUCUGCUAAGUUGGAUGUGAAAACUCUGGGCUUAACCCAGAGCCUGCAUUCAAUACUGACAGGCUAGAGUUCUGGAGGGGAUAGCGGAAUUCCUGGUGUAGCGGUGAAAUGCGUAGAUAUCGUGAGGAACACCAGAGGCGAAGGCGGCUACCUGGACAAUUGCUGACGCUCAGGCACGAAAGCGUGGGGAGCAAAAGGG
rnacentral:rRNA from 1 species